rnacentral:rRNA from 1 species
AUUGAACGCUGGCGGCAGGCCUAACACAUGCAAGUCGAACGGUAACAGGAAACAGCUUGCUGUUUCGCUGACGAGUGGCGGACGGGUGAGUAAUGUCUGUGAAACUGCCUGAUGGAGGGGGAUAACUACUGGAAACGGUAGCUAAUACCGCAUAACGUCGCAAGACCAAAGAGGGGGACCUUCGGGCCUCUUGCCAUCAGAUGUGCCCAGAUGGCAUUCGCUAGUAGGUGGGGUAACGGCUCACCUAGGCGACGAUCCCUAGCUGGUCUGAGAGGAUGACCAGCCACACUGGAACUGAGACACGGUCCAGACUCCUACGGGAGGCAGCAGUGGGGAAUAUUGCACAAUGGGCGCAAGCCUGAUGCAGCCAUGCCGCGUGUAUGAAGAAGGCCUUCGGGUUGUAAAGUACUUUCAGCGGGGAGGAAGGGAGUAAAGUUAAUACCUUCGCUCAUUGACGUUACCCGCAGAAGAAGCACCGGCUAACUCCGUG